UGGGGAAUAUUGGACAAUGGGGGGAACCCUGAUCCAGUCAUGCCGCGUGUGUGAAGAAGGCCUUAUGGUUGUAAAGCACUUUAAGCGAGGAGGAGGGUACUGGUAUUAAUACUACCAGCUACUGGACGUUACUCGCAGAAUAAGCACCGGCUAACUCUGUGCCAGCAGCCGCGGUAAUACAGAGGGUGCGAGCGUUAAUCGGAUUUACUGGGCGUAAAGCGUGCGUAGGCGGCUAAUUGAGUCGGAUGUGAAAUCCCCGAGCUUAACUUGGGAAUUGCAUUCGAUACUGGUUAGCUAGAGAGUGGGAGAGGAUGGUAGAGUUCCAGGUGUAGCGGUGAAAUGCGUAGAGAUCUGGAGGAAUACCGAUGGCGAAGGCAGCCAUCUGGCCUAACACUGACGCUGAGGUACGAAAGCAUGGGGAGCAAACAGG
rnacentral:rRNA from 1 species